rnacentral:lncRNA from 1 species
UUACUGCUGGCAGAACAGAGAAAGAGAGAGAGCAGGAGAGAGAGAGACAGACAGAAUCCACUAGUAGAAUAAGCCAUGAUCACCACUCAAAACUUUUGCUACUACUUGAUCAGUACCUGGAAUUCUGAGGAAAACCCUAUUAGAGAUUGCAAAUCCAGUAAAUAAAGGCAGCAGUGGUACCUUGUUAAAAACAUCAAAUCCAAAGUGCUCUGAGGAGGAAUAUGUACGGUGUGUUCUAGGGACAGAAAAUAAGACAAACGUGGCUGGAGUAUUGGAAGGGGAAGUGAGUGUUACUAGAGAAGGUCAUGAGCUUUAAUUUUUGCAUCUGGCAAGAGUUUCUGCAAAUUCCCUGUGGUAAAGAUGGCAGGCUGCCCUGGAGAUCUUCUCUUCCUUGUGGGUUGGCUGUGGCUCGGAAGUGGCGGCUUCCUGGAGCCUGUGUGUCCAUUCCCAACUUCCUUGCAUCUAGAGCCUGUUUACUAGCAUGUCACUGCCUAUCACACAAUAAGGCUGGUGAAAUUCUAUUGAAAUAAUCCAUGUAAAAUGCUCAGUGGAGUGCACGAUACAAGUCAAUUCACUUCAGAAAGUAUCUACCCCCGUGUCCCCAGCAGCACAUUUCAUCCACACCACGAAGCGAACAGAAAGAGACCUAAAGCUUGGUCUAUGUGCUUCUGCCACUCACGUCUGAGCCAUAGAAAAAUGUUACAACUUUACAAAGUGACUGUGAAUUUAAGUUAAACCCUCUGACAACAAAUUGGAGGACACACAAGCCUAAAAGAUGAACGAUACGGUGUUUAUACUUCUCCCUAGGAAGAGCCAUAGGCCUUGGGCCCCAUCAAGGACUCUUCAGUGUUUGAAUUUUAAGAUUUGCCUCCAGUAUGAAACGAGAGGACUUUGCCUUCACUACUCAGCUUGAAGAAAGAGGAAGAGAUUUAUUUGGGGUGGAGAAUGUGAAGCCAUCCCAGUGACUGCCUCUUCCACAAAUUGUCUUUCUGUUCCAAGGCAAUGACCUCAGUGUUGUCAACUAGGAGGCACCUGAGCUAGUAAGGAGAAGCCAAGCAAGAGAGAGAUUUGCCUCAUCCCCACUGGUUAAAUAGUUUGCUCAUAAAAAAUUUCGGAAAUAUAUUUAUUAAGGAUAACUAUGUGCAACAGUUUCUAAAAUGUCAUUUGGGAUGUUGCAUGAGUGAUCAAUGUUAGGGUGGCAUGAAAAUCCUGAACUGUAGCUAGCAGGCUUUAGCAGCUGAAGGCAUUUUGUUUAAUACUGUAAAUACAGUACCAGAGUUUAACUGCAUUGACGAUUAUUUUACUGCUGACCCAUGGACCACAGAGUGGUUAAAAGCAAGGGCAUUUGAGGCAGGUGGCCUGAGGGUUCAUGUCCCUGCUGCAUCAUUUACAAUCUCCAUGACCAUGGGCAAGUUACUUAACUUCUGUAAGCCUUAGUUUUCUCCCCAUAAGUUAAAAUAAAGCUGUACCUUCCUUAUGAGUUUGGUAAGACAAAUACCUUAGACAGUGCAUAUAAAGUAAUUAACACCAUGCCUUGAAUGCAGUAGUUGCUCCAAAAAUAUUAAUUAUUGCCACUACCAUUCUACUAUCAUUACAAUUGUUAUUUUUUCAUAUAUUUGCUCAAAAAUACAGUGGAAAUGUAAGCAUGUAAACGUUAUUGUGUUCAGUAUAAUAUACAAACAUUAGCAUAAGUAUUUCCUUUCUCAUGAGCUUUUGCAGA